GCGUGAGUGAUGAAGGCCUUCGGGUUGUAAAACUCUUUCACCUGCGAAGAUAAUGACGGUAGCAGGAUAAGAAGCACCGGCAAACUCUGUGCCAGCAGCCGCGGUAAGACAGAGGGUGCUAGCGUUGUUCGGAAUGACUGGGCGUAAAGGGCGCGUAGGCGGCCAAUCAAGUCAGAUGUGAAAGCCCCGGGCUUAACCUGGGAUGUGCAUUUGAUACUGGUGGGCUGGAGUACGAGAGAGGAAAGUGGAAUUCCUAGUGUAGAGGUGAAAUUCGU
rnacentral:rRNA from 1 species